AGUUGGCCUCUUGUAUGUAUCUUUAACACUCAUGUGAUAUCUAAGUUAAGAUUUAAUAUUGGUUGACACCAAGCCUGACCCUUUUUGGUACCUGAAUCACUUCGUAAUAACAUGAUGAGCACCAACAGAAGCCUAGUACCUUGGAAAGGUUUAAGUGGACAGAGGUUAAAAAGAUCCAAGAAAUGUCUCAUUCAUGAUUAAUUUUACUUACAGAUUUGGACUUUCUAGGGUAAGUCUUUGCAAAUGUUUUUCUCAUUUAUUGCUAAAUAUCAACAUCAAGAGAGAUAAGUGACUUGUACAAGAUCCCCAGUUAGUAUUAUAAUUAGCAGAGCCAGGAUUGGAAGGGUGUUCUCCUGAGUCCAAGUUGAAUGCUUUUUCUGC
rnacentral:lncRNA from 1 species